rnacentral:rRNA from 1 species
GUUUUCUCUGAAGUUUUCGGAUGGAAGAGAGUUCAGCUUAGUGGCGAACGGGUGAGUAACACGUGAGCAACCUGCCUUUCAGUGGGGGACAACAUUUGGAAACGAAUGCUAAUACCGCAUAAGACCACAGUGUCGCAUGGCACAGGGGUCAAAGGAUUUAUCCGCUGAAAGAUGGGCUCGCGUCCGAUUAGCUAGAUGGUGAGGUAACGGCCCACCAUGGCGACGAUCGGUAGCCGGACUGAGAGGUUGAACGGCCACAUUGGGACUGAGACACGGCCCAGACUCCUACGGGAGGCAGCAGUGGGGAAUAUUGCACAAUGGGGGAAACCCUGAUGCAGCGACGCCGCGUGGAGGAAGAAGGUCUUCGGAUUGUAAACUCCUGUCCCAGGGGACGAUAAUGACGGUACCCUGGGAGGAAGCACCGGCUAACUACGUGCCAGCAGCCGCGGUAAAACGUAGGGUGCAAGCGUUGUCCGGAAUUACUGGGUGUAAAGGGAGCGCAGGCGGAUUGGCAAGUUGGGAGUGAAAUCUAUGGGCUCAACCCAUAAAUUGCUUUCAAAACUGUCAGUCUUGAGUGGUGUAGAGGUAGGCGGAAUUCCCGGUGUAGCGGUGGAAUGCGUAGAUAUCGGGAGGAACACCAGAGGCGAAGGCGGCCUACUG